rnacentral:rRNA from 1 species
AGAGUAUGAUCCUGGCUCAGAACGUACGCUGGCGGCACGCCUAAUACAUGCAAGUCGAACGAAGUAGCAAUACUUAGUGGCAGACGGGUGAGUAACAUGUAGGUAUCUUCCCUUUGGUGAGGAAUAACACGAGGAAACUUGUGCUAAUACCUCAUAAGUCUUUACGGAGAAAGCUUUAUGCGCCAAUGGAUGAGCCUGCACUUGAUUAGUUUGUUGGUAGGGUAAUGGCCUACCAAGACAAUGAUCAAUAGCUGAUUUGAGAGGAUGAUCAGCCACAUUGGGACUGAGACACGGCCCAAACUCCUACGGGAGGCAGCAGUAGGGAAUCUUGCACAAUGGGGGAAACCCUGAUGCAGCGAUGCCGCGUGAGUGAAGAAGGCCUUUGGGUUGUAAAGCUCUUUCGUCGGGGAAGAAAAUGACUGUACCCGAAUAAGAAGGUCCGGCUAACUUCGUGCCAGCAGCCGCGGUAAUACGAAGGGACCUAGCGUAGUUCGGAAUUACUGGGCUUAAAGAGUUCGUAGGUGGUUAAAAAAGUUGGUGGUGAAAUCCCGGAGCUUAACUCUGGAACUGCCAUCAAAACUUUUUAGCUAGAGUAUGAUA